AAAACGUCUGGGUCGGGCGCAUGUAUUGUGAGCGUCUGUGUCUAGGCGUAUCUUUAAUGUACGUCUCUUGUCCAUCUACCCUCCGCGUUUCUUCAUUAGCUUCUAUCAAACACAAAUGAAGUUGCAUUUCUCACUGAAGCUGGUUGUUCUUAUCGAAAGGAAAAAAAUCUGAGAAGGGUUCACAAUGGUUGGAAUAAAAGCCAGCAGUGGUGAUGGUUUUGAAAGCUAGAUGGAUUUUUGGAGUUCAGGCAUGAGUAAUGAUUUAAUAAACUUGGGAUAAUGAUGACCUAACAGCAUCAACAGUGGAUACAGGAGAUGCUGAUGUUGCUUCCAUUGUUCCAAUCGGUUGAUGGCUGCAUACAAAGGAAGAAUGGAUCCUCAAAUUUGCUCGAGUAUGGUACUGGCCGUUGAUUCGUACAACUGAAUGAGAGAUAAAGUUCACGGCAACAGAACGAGAUGCAGAGUGUUAACUGGUUGCUCGAGCUGUGCUAUUGCUGGAAGAUGGAGAAAUGGAACAGUGGCGUCAGGGGUUGUUGGCCGAUGGUGCUGUGACUGAUAUGGCAUUGCUCGUGUUAUGCUCGAGUUUGAGAACUUUUGGAAAGAAUGAUGGGUUGGCUGAUAUUAAGCUACUGCAAUCGUCGGUGUUGGAAAAAGAAGAGACGAAGAAAGAUGUUAGACGAAUUGGUUUCACGACACAGACGCAGUUUCUAUCUGCGUUUGAAUGAGACGCCAUUUGUAACUCCGUCCCAGCAAACGCAAUUACCAUCUACGUCCCGUGCACGGCGUGAAUAAUACCUACGUCCCAUUCAAGCGCGCAUUAUACCUCCGUUUCAUUCAGACGCAUAUUAUGAACACGCUCCAUCAAGAAACGUGGAUAUAAGUUGCGUCCCGCAUCAAGCGUGGAUAUAAGUUCCGCUUCACCAAAAUUUGGUAUUCUCCCACUGGGCUUGAACACACGGAAAACCAAAUUUUUUUGGUUUUUAAUCUGGCUUUUGGUAUUUGGUCCAUCUCAUGACUGUGGUUGCUCUAAACUACAUUCUUCACUUUGCCAAUGACCAUUCCUGAAAAGUGGUACCCAUUUGAAGCCCAGUCAACCAUGCGGUAUUUGUGGGUAUUUGUGGGUUCUUGUCGGAGUGGUUGAAUCACCUAGAAAAGUAGACAGUCUUGUCUACUUGCGUCACAUGAGCUGAUUUGGGAAAUGAUACCAAACUAUAAACAAUUUUUCCUUUUCUUUACUGGCAGGCAUGAUUUGAGUUUCCAAUGUGGAAGGUGAUAAGUAGUUUGUCUUGUCGAGUAUAAAGUUUUAGCCUCUAAAUGAUAGUUGAUGGAAAUUUUGAAUCUGUGGAGCGGUUUCAUGGGGUAGGAUUGAAAAUGAGCAAGUUCAUGUCAGAAAGCAAGCUUAAGAGAGAUCUCGCAGAAGGGUCUCCAAGGUUUAAACGCUAAGAUGAAGAUGGGUGCUAAUAGACGAUAGACCGGUGCUAAUAGACGAUAGACUGCAAAAAAGAAAAAAGAAACAUAUAUAAUUUAUUACAGACUUAUUUGUAUGGCAUCCAAUUGUAGUGGUAGCCUAGUUUCCUAUUGACCUGAUUCUGAUACUUAAAGUCGAAGUUCAAAUAUUAUUAUAACAUGGUUUUGCUGGUAAGCAUAUGUAAUUUAAUGGUUGGAAAGACUUAUGUAAUAUGUACAGACAUAUAUAUAUAUAUAUGCAAAGUCACGAACCGACGACUUCAAAUAUGA